UACGAAGGGGCGUAGCGUUGUUCGGAUUUACUUGGGCGGUAAAGACGCACGUAGGCGGAUCGUUAAGUCGGGGUGGAAAUACCUGGAGCUCAACUCCAGAACUGCCUUCGAUACUGGCGAUCUUGAGUCCGGAAGAGGUGAGUGGAACUCCUAGUGUAGAGGUGGAAUUCGUAGAUAUUAGGAAGAACACCAGUGGCGAAGGCGGCUCACUGGUCCGGUACUGACGCUGAGGUGCGAAAGCGUGGGGA
rnacentral:rRNA from 1 species